AACGAACGCUGGCGGCAUGCCUAACACAUGCAAGUCGAACGAGAUCUUCGGGUCUAGUGGCGCACGGGUGCGUAACGCGUGGGAAUCUGCCCUUUGGUUCGGAAUAACAGUUGGAAACGACUGCUAAUACCGGAUGAUGACGAAAGUCCAAAGAUUUAUCCCCAGAGGAUGAGCCCGCGUAGGAUUAGCUAGUUGGUGUGGUAAAGGCGCACCAAGGCGACGAUCCUUAGCUGGUCUGAGAGGAUGAUCAGCCACACUGGGACUGAGACACGGCCCAGACUCCUACGGGAGGCAGCAGUGGGGAAUAUUGGACAAUGGGCGAAAGCCUGAUCCAGCAAUGCCGCGUGAGUGAUGAAGGCCUUAGGGUUGUAAGGCUCUUUUACCCGGGAUGAUAAUGACAGUACCGGGAGAAUAAGCUCCGGCUAACUCCGUGCCAGCCGCCGCAGUAAAAC
rnacentral:rRNA from 1 species